AUCCCAUGGUGAAGGCAUUCUGAUAUGUAAUGUUGAAAAUGUUCCCAAGCCUCCAGGACAGAUUCAUCGUACUGUUGCUAGAAAGUUGAGAUCUUAGCACGUAGGGC
rnacentral:snoRNA from 1 species